UGGCUCAGGAUGAACGCUGGCGGCGUGCCUAACACAUGCAAGUCGAACGGGGAGUUUAUUUCGGUAGACUUCCAGUGGCGAACGGGUGAGUAACACGUUGGUGACCUGCCCCGAAGAGGGGGACAACUCCUCGAAAGAGGAGCUAAUACCCCAGAUGUCUAAGAGGUUAGAAGCCUUAGACUAAAGUUCGUGAGAAUGCUUUGGGAGGGGCCUGCGGGCUAUCAGCUAGUUGGUGAGGUAAGGGCUCACCAAGGCGAAGACGGCUAGGGGGCGUGAGAGCGUGACCCCCCACAAGGGAACUGAGAAACGGUCCCUACUCCUACGGGAGGCAGCAGUGAGGAAUAUUGAGCAAUGGGCGGAAGCCUGACUCAGCAACGCCGCGUGGAUGACGAAGGG
rnacentral:rRNA from 1 species